rnacentral:tmRNA from 2 species
GGGGGCGAUUGGUGUCGACAGGGUAGAGGCGCGCUCAGGCUGCGAGCCGAGGUGCCGUUGGCCUCGUAAAAAAGCGGCAAAAAAAUAGGAGCGACUCCUCAGUACGCUCUCGCUGCCUAAUUAAGAGGCAGCCGUCCAGCCGUCUCCUGCCGGCCGAGGCGGAUGUGGGCGUGUGCUAUGCCGGCUAGCCCGAACGGAAACGUUCACCGCCGUUUGGGCGAAAGUGCAGGGUGAACUGGCUGUGGGGUAAGCCUGCCAUCGGGCGUACCCGACGGCGAGAGACAAAACGAUGGCUACGCUCGUAGACGCCUGGGGCAAAUCACUCUGGACGAGGGUUCGAGUCCCUCCGCCUCCACCA